CAGCUGGAGGAAAAAAAAAAAAAAACCAAAACCCAGACGCUGUGGUGGUUAGUCAUAAUAAGCAAGGCAAGCGUGAGGGGGAGAAGAGAGCUCAGCUUUGACGUCAGGCAGCCCUGAGUUGGAAGGACACAGGCACUGUUGCCUGCUUGGAGGUGUGACCUUGGGCCAGCUGCUUGGCCUCUUCAGGUCUCAGUUUCUGGCUCUGUUAAAUGGGGAUGAUAAUACUGACCUUCCAGAAUUUCUCCGUGGUUUUGGUAAGGUGACCUAGCUCGGUGCCUGCAUAAACAUAUUCUGUUUUGGGGAAUAAUUUCUGCCACACUGCUAUUUUACAGAGAAAGACUAUUAAUCCCAUCUUGCAGAGAACAUUUAGACAUUGAAUAGGAGGUUGUCUCCCAUAAGCGCUGGGCAGCAGAGCCAGGCCUCUUCCUACAAGGCAGAGGUGUCCAGCUGCCACCAGUUCCCCCCACCUGUCAGCUCCGACCACACUCACCCAGUAGUGUUCUUGGACCCAGGGAAGGACUCAUUUUUCAUUUUCCAGGAACCCUUCUCUUCCCAUUUCCUUUCCCAAGGAGCCUUGCCCUUGGAUUCAGCUAGACUUGAGCACAUUACCUCUCACAUGUUUCCUUACGUGUCCCCUUCUCAUUGGAAUGUCCCUCAGUUUGGACUAAUGGGCUCAUUAACAACAGCCAGCAAUUUAAAUUUCCUUUCUGUAAGAAUAAAGCUGUCCCUUUCCCUA